rnacentral:rRNA from 1 species
AGGAUUCCCCUAGUAACUGCGAGUGAAGCGGGAAAAGCUCAAAUUUAAAAUCUGGCAGUCUCUGGCUGUCCGAGUUGUAAUCUAGAGAAGUAAUGCCCGUGCUGGACCGUGUAUAAGUCUCCUGGGAUGGGGCGUCAUAGAGGGUGAGAAUCCCGUCUUUGACACGGACUACCAGUGCAUUGUGGUAUGCUCUCAAAGAGUCGAGUUGUUUGGGAAUGCAGCUCAAAAUGGGUGGUAAAUUCCAUCUAAAGCUAAAUAUUGGCGAGAGACCGAUAGCGAACAAGUACCGUGAGGGAAAGAUGAAAAGAACUUUGGAAAGAGAGUUAAACAGUACGUGAAAUUGCUGAAAGGGAAACGCUUGAAGUCAGUCGCGUUGRCCGGGAAUCAGCCUUGCUUUUGCAUGGUGUACUUUCUGGUUGACGGGUCAGCAUCAAUUUUGACCGCUGGAAAAAGGCCUGGGGAAUGUGGCAGCUUCGGCUGUGUUAUAGCCCCUAGUCGCAUACAGUGGUUGGGAUUGAGGAACUCAGCACGCCGCAAGGCCGGGUUUCGACCACGUUCGUGCUUAGGAUGCUGGCAUAAUGGCUUUAAGCGACCCGUCUUGAAACACGGACCAAGGAGUCUAACAUGCCUGCGAGUAUUUGGGUGGAAAACUCAAGUGCGUAAUGAAAGUGAAAGUUGAGAUCCCUGUCGUGGGGAGCAUCGACGCCCGGACCAGAACUUUUGGGACGGAUCCGCGGUGGAGCAUGUAUGUUGGGACCCGAAAGAUGGUGAACUAUGCCUGAAUAGGGUGAAGCCAGAGGAAACUCUGGUGGAGGCUCGUAGCGAUUCUGACGUGCAAAUCGAUCGUCAAAUUUGGGUAUAGGGGCGAAA